rnacentral:rRNA from 1 species
UACGUAGGUGGCAAGCGUUGUCCGGAAUUAUUGGGCGUAAAGCGCGCGCAGGCGGUCCUUUAAGUCUGAUGUGAAAGCCCACGGCUCAACCGUGGAGGGUCAUUGGAAACUGAGGGACUUGAGUGCAGGAGAGAAGAGUGGAAUUCCACGUGUAGCGGUGAAAUGCGUAGAGAUGUGGAGGAACACCAGUGGCGAAGGCGGCUCUCUGGAACGCAACUGACGCUGAGACGCGAAAGCGUGGAGAGCAAACAGG